CGCGUAAGUAAUCUACCCUCGCAUCUGGGAUAACCCACCGAAAGGUGUGCUAAUACCUGAUACGUCUGGAAUUAUACUUUGAAUCCAGAGAAAGGUGGCCUCUUCAUGAAAGCUACUGUGCGGGGAGGAGCUUGCGUACCAUUAGCUAGUUGGUAGGGUAACGGCCUACCAAGGCGAUGAUGGUUAGCGGGUCUGAGAGGAUGAUCCGCCACACUGGAACUGAAACACGGACCAGACUCCUACGGGAGGCAGCAGUGAGGAAUAUUGCGCAAUGGGGGCAACCCUGACGCAGCGACGCCG
rnacentral:rRNA from 1 species